GUUAUUCACAAGUGGCUCCAGUCUGGUUUGGGGGUCUACGCUUUCUCAUCCUGUCCUGCCACCCAAGUGAAGUUAUUCACAAGUGGCUCCAGUUUGGUUUGGGGGUCUACGCUUUCUCAUCCUGUCCUGCCACCUAAGUGAAGUUAUUCACAAGUGGCUCCAGUCUGGUUUGGGGGUCUACGCUUUCUCAUCCUGUCCUGAGUGAUUCUUGACAUUGAAAUUAUAUCAAAAUUUGUCAAUAAAUGUUCAUACUUUUGUCAUUAA